UAGCUCAGUGGUAGAGUGUGUGCCUGGCAUGCACAAGGUCCUGGGUUCAGUCCCCAG
rnacentral:tRNA from 1 species